rnacentral:rRNA from 1 species
ACUCAAAGGAAUUGACGGGGCUCGGCACAAGCAGUGGAGCAUGUGGUUUAAUUCGAUGCUACGCGAAGAACCUUACCGAGGCUUGACAUCCUGGGAAGUCGCUGGAAACAGUGAUGUGCCUUCGGGAACCCAGUGACAGGUGCUGCAUGGCCGUCGUCAGCUCGUGUCGUGAGAUGUUGGGUUAAGUCCCGCAACGAGCGCAACCCUUGUCGUGUGUUGUAUUUUUCACACGAGACUGCCCGGGCCAACCGGGAGGAAGGUGGGGAUGACGUCAGGUCUGCAUGGCCCUUACGCCUCGGGCCACACACGUGCUACAUUGGCCGGUACAACGGGUCUGCCAAGCCGCAAGGCGGAGCUAAUCCCAUCAAAACCGGUCUAAGUUCGGAUUGCAGGCUGCAACUCGCCUGCAUGAAGCUGGAAUUGCUAGUAACCGUGGGUCAGCAUACCACGGUGAAUACGUUCCCCGAGCUUGUACACACCGCCCGU